UCUGCCGGCCGGGCGGCCGCGCGCGGAAACGCUCGAGGAACGUCCGGGCUCCACAGGGCAGGGUGGUGGCUAACAGCCACCCGGGGUAACCCGCGGGACAGUGCCACAGAAAACAAACCACCGACGCGUAUGCGGCGGUAAGGGUGAAAAGGUGAGGUAAGAGCUCACCAGCGGCGCAGGUGACUGCGUCGGCUAGGUAAACCCCACCCGGAGCAAGACCGAGCAGCAGGCAGGGCGGCCCGUCCAAUGCCUGCGGGUAGGUCGCUGGAGGCCGUCGGUAACGACGGUCCUAGAUAGAUGGUCGCCACCGCACGACCGGUAACGGCGUGCGCGACAGAACCCGGCGUACAGGCCGACAGAUGCC
rnacentral:RNase_P_RNA from 21 species